AAGUACUUUAUUUUUAUUAGAAAAAAACGUACAUCUAUAAUUUAAAACACAAAAUUAUUGUUAUAUGUACAUGAAAAUGAUUUUAUUACUAAAUUUAUUAAUACAAGAUACAUAUAUAAUAAAUACUAUUAGGAAUAAAUCAAUAAUAAAGAAAUUGCGUUAAAAAUUAAACAAUUAAUAUAUAAAUUAUUUAUAUUUUAGUAAUGAAUAAAAAACACAUUCGGAAUAAUGUGAUUGCCUUUAAUGGUCCCUUCUAGUUUAAUAUCUUAGGUAUAAAAGUUAUUCCAGUGAUCAUAGAUAUUGGUUUUUAAUUAUUAAUUCAAAGACAAAUUUAUUAACCUUUGCUGCUUCACUAUAAUAUUCCGCGCUUUUUGUUUUAAAACCUGAGCCUAACAGCAUUUGGAAAAGGUGAUACUGGGAGCUCAUAUUUUUCGAUUAUAAUUAAUUGGUUCUUGUCACGAAUUAUUAAAGUAAGUCCUGCUUAUGAAUUGUAAAUAACUCUUCGAAUGACAAAAUACGUAACGGCAUAUUUUAUUAUAAUAAUUUAUAUGGGAACUAUGCUA